UCCACGGCCACCACUGCCUCCCUCUACUUUCUCUUUCUCAUUAAUGGCCUCCUCCUUCUCGCCGCUCUCUCUCUCUCUCUAAAACCGUCUGUCUCUCUGUGGAAUUGACGAAGAUGAAGUCUAUGCAGCCGCGCUACAAUUUCUUACGGGAGACAAUGAAGCCAAGCCUCCCCAGUCGCCACUCGCCAAACUGUAGCUCCGGCAAGCCUCCAAGGAGAAUGCGCCUCUACCUUCAGAUCUAACUCAUCAUCCUUUUGAUUCUCACAGACGGAGAUUCCCAAACCCUCCCUCUUUCUAUCAAGAAUCGAUUCACCACAAUCCCUUUUUAUCCCGAUUCAAUUUCCCUAGUUUACAGAAGGUUUCCGGGAGCUUUAACUACCAAUUGGACUACAAUGAGAUCAAUUCAUGGAACUGCAUCUAUGGCUGCAAGAGAUUACUAUGAGACAGUUGGGGUUAGCAGGAAUGCAAGUGCAUCAGAAAUAAAGAAAGCUUAUUAUGGGGCAUUGCAGUUGGGACAAGACUCGGAACUUCUUCGGUCGUCUUUGAAAAUCUGGAAUUAGUAUGCAGUAAGAAGAAGGAACCAUCUGAGAAUUUCAAAGGCAAGGGUUGUGAACAUCUAGGUAUGGUUUCUGCAAUUUUGUUGCUUUAUAUUAGUUUGUUUU